CCUACGGGAGGCAGCAGUGGGGAAUAUUGGGCAAUGGGCGCAAGCCUGACCCAGCAACGCCGCGUGAAGGAAGAAGGCCCUCGGGUUGUAAACUUCUUUUGUCAGGGACGAAGAAAGUGACGGUACCUCAGGAAUAAGCCACGGCUAACUACGUGCCAGCAGCCGCGGUAAUACGUAGGUGGCAAGCGUUAUCCGGAUUUAUUGGGUUUAAAGGGUGCGUAGGCGGACAGUCAAGUCAGCGGUAAAAAUGCGGUGCUCAACGCCGUACAGCCGUUGAAACUGGCAGUCUUGAGUGGGCGAGAAGUAUGCGGAAUGCGUGGUGUAGCGGUGAAAUGCAUAGAUAUCACGCAGAACUCCGAUUGCGAAGGCAGCAUACCGGCGCCCGACUGACGCUGAGGCACGAAGGCGUGGGUAUCGAACAGGAUUAGAUACCCCUGUAGUC
rnacentral:rRNA from 1 species